rnacentral:rRNA from 1 species
UACGUAGGUGACAAGCGUUGUCCGGAUUUACUGGGCGUAAAGAGCGCGUAGGCGGUCGUUCAAGUCGAGUGUGAAAGCCCCCGGCUCAACUGGGGAGGGUCAUUCGAUACUGAUCGACUCGAAGGCAGGAGAGGGUAGUGGAAUUCCCGGUGUAGUGGUGAAAUGCGUAGAUAUCGGGAGGAACACCAGUGGCGAAGGCGACUACCUGGCCUGUUCUUGACGCUGAGGCGCGAAAGCUAGGGGAGCAAACGGG